ACUCCCUCUCUCUACCUCUGUCUUUCGCUUUCCCCUCUCCCUCUUUCAGAUGUUCUAUUCUGGGAAGUUGUGCCAGGAAUAAUAGCUUCGGCGUCUUCCUCACAAACUGAAAAAUCGUGUCGGGGAGGAUGUUUUACUCACAAGGUGUCUUCGUUUAGUAGCAGCAUAAGGCUUUAGAAUAGUCAUACGGAAGUCGAUCUUUUUUUUGUGCUAAUUCUUGUUUAAUGUUUCACUCUUGAGUCUUGGACGCUUUUAUCCGACAAUUAGCGAAGUGUCAAGAGCGUUGUCAUAUGUUGUAAUUUAUUUGGGAUUUUACCGGACGUGGGUUUUUGCACGGCACCUGAAGUGUGACACGGCUGUGCCGAUGCCCUGGAGGAGUGUGAACGCUGUGUGACGUCCUCGCAAGUCGCUCUCCUUGGCUGCACAACAGGAAACACUUGUGGCCUCCCUCCUUCCUGCGCUCAGAAAGAGGGCGUGUGAAGAGGGUGUGUGCCUGGAUAGGCUUGCCAGGACUGCCAGGCGGAAGUCGUCUGUCAAAUCCCAGAGGUGGUGUGUGUUCCGCCUGCUCUUCAGCUCUUUGUCUGAUAGCGGCUUGUGGUGUGGCUGCAGACACAAAUAAACAUGUAAAACACUGAUAACUUUCACAACCUGAUGAGAGCGUGUUUGUGUGUUUGUGUGUUUGUGUGUGUGUGUGCGCCCCACACCGCCGUCAGCGUCAGUGUGUGAAUGUCAGAAUCUCGUCACACACAGGAAGUGGGAGUGAGAGUGUAUGGGGUGCGUCAGUGGCUGUGAACCGGGGUGACAAGCCGGGCGAUGCCAGAGUAGGUGGGUGCACAGACGGGGAUGAUUGUCACUAAUUGCACAGCGUUGUGUGGCAAGCUGCUUAACAACAAAAGGAAGAUCUUUUUUUGCCUCUUUCUUUUUUUGAAAAGGAGAGCUUUCCACUUCUUGAAAUGACUAUUUUUAUUGAGAACUUAUCAACUACUAUAUUGCAAUACAAUUUGACAGUUUAUUCGUUUAUUUUUGAGGGCUGGUGGUUUUGUUUUGCUCUGUAGUGUAGUGUAUAGUAAAAUCUGGUUUGGUUACUGUUUACACACAUUCCAGGAGGUUAAAAGUCAUUUGUAAUCCCUCUCUGACUUGGGAUCAGUCAUGAUGCAGAGUGUAUGUGCUGCUGAGCUCCACGUAUCUAUCAUGACAGAAGGGUACUGUAGUAGAGCCCUCCGGGUUGUUGUUUUAUCUGCUAAUUGGAGACUCAUGCAAUCCCCUUGAAAAUGGUGAGAUCCAAAAUGGCUGCCAGCGAGUCAGCUGAGCAGCAGUAGCUGUCAGAAGCCGGGAGAGGUUAGACAUGGGCGUGUCAAUGUUCAAUAUGGCGAAUAUUGGGGGUGCAACUGAAGCUGUUGGUUGAGUGGGAUGCAUGGGCUUUUGGGAGAGAGGACAUCAGUGGGGGAACAGGUUAUGGAAGCACUCUGUAUUUAGGUCAUGUUCUGUCCAAUGGAAAAUAGUUUCCAUGGGUCUUCAGUGUAGACAGACCGACAGGGAAGUAUGAUUUAUACAAUCUUGCCUGCGGGUGUGCAGAGCCAUAACUCCUCCCUCCCACACAGCACCAAUGGACUCACACAGAAGUGAGGUGAACUUAAUGUGUUAUAAUUUAUGAAUAGUGGCUUGAUACAUGGUAACAUUCAUAUUAUUAUGCCAAAUGAUUAUCCAUGCCGAUGUCCAUUGUCCAGUGACUUCUUGUUUUCCAAGCAGUAAGACUUAACCACAAAGUGAUACUGACUCACAGACAGUGGUUGCGUUGAACUAGUGACAGUCGUGUCUUGCUGAUCCAUCCUACCGUCCAUAGCGUCUUGUUCUCAGUGGAACUGCCUGCUACAUGCCUACAAGUCAACCAUAGCCACUCUGGCCCUGAGGUCACCUCGGCCCAGCCGGGCACCCAGGAGGCUCAUGGGAGGGAGGAUUGGGUAUGGGACUGACGCUGGUGCUAGCUGGGUAGUCAAUAGGAAACCCCCCCAUCUAUGUAGACUUGAGUCUAUCUUCUGUGAAGUUUAAUAACCAUAGGAGAGUGGCUACUGUAGCAGAAGGUCAGACUACCACCCGCUGGGUCAGAUAAGGCCUCUCUGAUUUACAUUUGACAUUGUGUAUGUCUGCCUGUCUCCAGUGUCGUGCAUACAUUUAGAGGUGGAGGUGGCUCAGCUCACUGGCCAGUCACACGAUGCCCUUGAGUUCUGUGCUGUCACUGUGUGUCACGCUGCAUCGACCCAGCCAGCUCGGCUCCCUCUGAAAGCCGUGGGGUUCUGUCAGCACCACCAUCUUCAGGCCUCGGCUCGGGUCGGGGAAAGGUCAAUGCUUCCAGGGAGAGCUGAGGCUGGAUUCUUCCCUCCCUGGGAGGAUUGGACCAAUGUGCUGGGGCUCAGGCACACACCUGGCAGGGCUAUGUCACAUACAGAGAGAGAUCUGGAGCUACACUGCCCCCCCCCCCCCCCCCUCUCCCUGAAGCAAACACAUUUAGGUACAUCAUGUUGGGUUGGUGGGAUUUAACAAUCCACACACGUAGACUUUCUAGCUAAGUAGAUGUGGGUAAGGCAAAUAGGGUAAGACAUGAGACCUCUGGCGUAGUUGUAGUGUGUGUGUGUGUGUGUGUGUGUGUGUGUGUGUGUGUGUGUGUGUGUGUGUGUGUGUGUGUGUGUGUGUGUGUGUGUGUGUGUGUGUGUGUGUGUGUGUGUGUGUGUGUG